AUCGGUGGGACUUUCGUUCGUCU
rnacentral:miRNA from 1 species